GAUGAACGCUGGCGGCGUGCCUAAUACAUGCAAGUCGAACGAAACUUCCUUAUCACCGAGUGCUUGCACUCACCGAUAAAGAGUUGAGUGGCGAACGGGUGAGUAACACGUGGGCAACCUGCCCAAAAGAGGGGGAUAACACUUGGAAACAGGUGCUAAUACCGCAUAACCAUAGUUACCGCAUGGUAACUAUGUAAAAGGUGGCUAUACUACCGCUUUUGGAUGGGCCCGCGGCGCAUUAGCUAGUUGGUAGGGUAAAGGCUUACCAAGGCAAUGAUGCGUAGCCGAAUUGAGAGGUUGAUCGGCCACAUUGGGACUGAGACACGGCCCAAACUCCUACGGGAGGCAGCAGUAGGGAAUCUUCCACAAUGGGCGAAAGCCUGAUGGAGCAACGCCGCGUGGGUGAAGAAGGUCUUCGGAUCGUAAAACCCUGUUGUUAGAGAAGAAAGUGCGUGAGAGUAACUGUUCACGUUUCGACGGUAUCUAACCAGAAAGCCACGGCUAACUACGUG
rnacentral:rRNA from 1 species